rnacentral:lncRNA from 1 species
CCAUCACCUUGAACGCGCACCCAGGAGUCUCCCCGAGUCUAAGUGCACCAGUCUGGGGACGUCCUGGUCCCAUUGUACAGAAGGCUCCAUCCCUGUGAUGAGGUCAGCUGACUCCAGUCACAUGCUGCCUCUCUAACCCGCUCCACUUAAUGAAUGUAGUUCCUCCUGCCUGCUUUGUAAAAAUCCAGUUUUAUUCUUUGCAGAAAAUACAAACGGCAUGGCCUUUUCAGGCUGGUAGCUUCCUCUCAAACCCUGCUCUUUCCUGGGCUCGGCUGAAAGAAAAUGCUGCCCGGGGCAACAUCAUGUCACCUCCUAAGAAUAUCAUAAAGGAAGGAGAUACUGCCCAUUUUACAGAUGGAAGAACCAAGGCACAAAGUGUAACAUCUUUGAGUUAAUGCAGGAAGGACAGUGGCUCUACCACACACAUGUUCGGACAAGCCCACUGAGUACAAAACUCCAGGCAUCUGGACUUGGCAAGGCCGCUGACACUGAAGAGAAUGUAACAUGCAAGACCAAGGCUGCCCCCAGCCCCACCCCUGCAUCUCCGGGGCCUCAUGUUCCUCACCUGUAAAUGAAGGGGGUGUAAGGAGGAAAACUGGACAACGAUCCCUGAGGCCCCGUCCAGCACAACAUUCUGACUGUAAGCAGAGAAGAUGCAAAUACAGUUUAAUCAAAUCUUGCUGGUCAUAACCACUUGCCCACGGUAGCUUUAAACUGAUUUUGCCAAUUUUACUACUUUUAUCACUUGACAGUAUAACAAAGAUAGGAACAUUGGAUUAAUACAACACUUUUUAGAAGUUUCAGAGGCUAGCAAAUUUUCAGCUUGGCUAAUUUGUAUGGCAACACUAUCCCAAAUGAAGGCAUGCAGACGAGAGGCUGGAAACACAGCAAACCCAGCGCCCUCAUCAAAUGUUCGCACUGUGCCAGAUCCUGGCUAAGUAUUUAUAGUGUUUUAUAUCAUGCCCUACAAUCCCAUGACAUAGAUCUGAUUACUCCCUAAAUUUUACUUGUGUAAAAAAGAUCUGUUAGAAAAACAAGAUUUGUGGUGUGAAGAGCAAAAGUUGUUUUCCACUGCGGUGUGUGCCUAAGGGCAAGCCACCCAGCUGCUCUGUCUCAAUGCCUCCACCUAUGCAACAGGAAAAUAGCCCCUGUCUCGUUCACUCACUCAACAACCAGUGACUGAGCACUCCCAGAUGUGCCAGGCACUGUGGGAGGUGCUUGGGAUCUUGGUGAACAAAACGGAUUAAAAGGACAAAAAGCCAUCAUGGCGUUGCUUAUACCUCGAACAAGGAAAGCAGAUAAUUCGUGCUGAGAACGCAGGGGGUGCUUGAUCAACCUUAGCGCCCUCUCUUCCCCCUUCAGAAAUGGAAAAAGCAUUAGAAAACAAAUCCAACAGAAGCCAGUUAAGUCAGACCCGAAACAGAAAUUUUUACCUAAUAAACAAAUACCAAAGAGCAAAGAUUAAGAGCAUUUGUGCUGGUGUCCUCUGGCCUAGGCUCAAAUUCUGACUCUGUCACUUCUUGCUGGAGUGACCCCAGGCAAGUUAUUUAAACUCCACUAAGCGUCAACUUCC